GAGGGACAGUGGAAGGAGUGUCUGAAGUUUGAGGCAGCGCUCUCAUGACCAGGGACUUGAAGCUUGAAAACUCGUUUCUCAAGUCAGUGUAUUCUUUUCUCAAUGCACGGUUUUCUUGGUCACGUUGCUCUAGUAGCUAUGUCAAGCGCUGGAUGGCCUCGUCAGCAGAAGGGGUGGAAGAAGAAGAAGGUUGAUGCUUCAGUGUACCUCCUCUCGAUGCUGUAUAGUUUGCAGCAAGUUGUCCUGCACCAUAGACUCGUCCCUUUUUCUUCCCACCAAC
rnacentral:lncRNA from 1 species